CUCCUCAUUUCAGAGGCAGCAGUGCCAGUCCGUGCAAGUCGGCUUGGUUGUCAAACAGUAACACUAUCGCUACCGUCCAGACUUUGAGCAGGAACAUUCGAGGAGGACCUAUGGUUCUUGGAAUGCGGACGACGCAGAAAGAGAAUGGGGACGUUCCUCUCUUUCUUUCACUCACACACACAUUUAGACCCUAGCUGCGGUGUACGAUGGUGUCGAUGCUCUCCUGGAUCUCAGCCAUCUUCUUCAACACCUGGUUCACCUUCGCCUCGUCAAACUCCAGACACACAAAGUCUGAGUCCUGGAAGGAAAAUGAGAACGGAGAAGAGUGAACGGGAUGGGGGAAGGAGAAGGGAAAGGUAAAACAAGGACAGUAUUUUAAAGAACAAGACAACAGGCAGUAGAGCCUACUUCAUGGAUGAUUGGUUGAGGGCUGUAGCUCAAAUGACGUGACAUCAGAAACAUUGUGAUAAUAGGAACCUUUCAACUGUACUGCAGAGGGAGAAGUUCACAUCAAGUCCUAUUUAAAGGUGGGAGCAAAGGUCAGAUGAGGAAACUCCUAUAAACAUCCUAUAAAUUGAAUGACAUCAAAGAGCUGUGAGAACUAGACUGUUUUGCAGUUGUGCUAAAGAUGGGACCUGAGAUCCAAGCCAGUUUGUGACCUCCGUUGAACCUUUUGAAAGCUUAUUCAACACUGUGCUACAGGAAGAGGUGGGUGUGUAAAAAUGGGGUCAGAAAGUUAAGCAAGGAUCCUAGGCCCAGGAUGUGGUCCAGACAUAUUCUGUUAGUACCAAACACUUGUUCUUUCUCUUUCCAAUGGACAACAAACUAAAAAGGACUAAUGGAAAUAAACAUUCAUGAAUAAGC